GUGCCAGCACCCGCGGUAAUACCAGCUCCUGGAGUGUCUAUGAUGAUUGCUGCAGUUAAAGAGUUCGUAGUCGAAGUGGUUAUUAACGGUGUAACAGGCCUUCUCUCAAGGAGGGUUAUGCGCCGUGAUUCCAUGGAAUAAGGAGCGUUUAGGGGCCAGGUUAUUAAGCGACGAGGGGUGAAAUCUGGUGACUCGCUUAGGAGCAACAGAGGCGAAAGCGCUGGCCAGGAGCGAAUCCGAUGAUAAAGGACGUAGGCUAGAGGAUCGAAGACGAUUAGAGACCGUUGUAGUUCUAGCAGUAAACGAUGCCGAUACCGUGGUGCGGAUACGCGACGCGGAAGAGAAAUCGAGUAGGGCCCUGGGGAGAGUACACGCGCAAGAASAAAUUUAAAGGAAAUUGACGGAAGAACACCACAAGGAGUGGAGUGUGCGGCUUAAUUUGACUCAACGCGGGACAGCUUACCAGGCCCGACGGCCGGACGAGUGUUGUACACGAUAGGUCGAAGAGUGGUGCAUGGCCGUUAACGACGAGUGAGGUGACUUUUGGGUUAAAUCCGGGAAGUAGUGAGACCCCUACCGAAAGGGACAGGUGCCGAAAGCACAGGAAGGAAGGGUCAAGAACAGGUCAGUGAUGCCCUCAGAUGGUCUGGGCUGCACGCGCACUACAGUGGUCAUAGAAAUGAAACGAUAGAAUUAAAGAUGAUCGAGAGGGAAUGAGCUUUGUAAGAGGCUCGGGAACGAGGAAUUGCUAGUAAUCGCGGACUCAUUAAGACGCGAUGAAUACGUCCCUGUUCUUUGUACACACCGCCCGUCGUUAUCGAAGAUGGAGUCAGGCGCGAACAAGCGAGAGCGAGUGAGUGCAGGAUUCUAGAUGUGAUACAAGUCGUAACAAGGUAGCUGUAGGAGAACCUGUAGCUGGAUCAGAA
rnacentral:rRNA from 1 species